ACGAACGCUGGCGGCGUGCCUAAUCCAUGCCAGUAGAACGCACAGUUUAUACCGUAGCUUGCUACACCAUAGCCUGUGAGUUGCGAACGGGUGAGUAACGCGUAGGUAACCUGCCUGGUAGCGGGGGAUAACUAUUGGAAACGAUAGCUAAUACCGCAUAAUAUUAAUUAUUGCAUGAUAAUUAAUUGAAAGGUGCAAUUGCACCACUACCAGAUGGACCUGCGUUGUAUUAGCUAGUAGGUGAGGUAACGGCUCACCUAGGCGACGAUACAUAGCCGACCUGAGAGGGUGAUCGGCCACACUGGGACUGAGACACGGCCCAGACUCCUACGGGAGGCAGCAGUAGGGAAUCUUCGGCAAUGGACGAAAGUCUGACCGAGCAACGCCGCGUGAGUGAAGAAGGUUUUCGGAUCGUAAAGCUCUGUUGUAAGAGAAGAACGGGUGUGAGAGUGGAAAGUUCACACUGUGACGGUAUCUUACCAGAAAGGGACGGCUAACUACGUG
rnacentral:rRNA from 1 species